CACUCCUGCGGGAGGCAGCAGUGGGGAAUAUUGCACAAUGGGCGCAAGCCUGAUGCAGCCAUGCCGCGUGUAUGAAGAAGGCCUUCGGGUUGUAAAGUACUUUCAGCGGGGAGGAAGGCAAUACGGUUAAUAACCGUGUUGAUUGACGUUACCCGCAGAAGAAGCACCGGCUAACUCCGUGCCAGCAGCCGCGGUAAUACGGAGGGUGCAAGCGUUAAUCGGAAUUACUGGGCGUAAAGCGCACGCAGGCGGUCUGUCAAGUCGGAUGUGAAAUCCCCGGGCUCAACCUGGGAACUGCAUUCGAAACUGGCAGGCUUGAGUCUUGUAGAGGGGGGUAGAAUUCCAGGUGUAGCGGUGAAAUGCGUAGAGAUCUGGAGGAAUACCGGUGGCGAAGGCGGCCCCCUGGACAAAGACUGACGCUCAGGUGCGAAAGCGUGGGGAGCAAACAGGAUUAGAUACCCUUGUAGUCCCA
rnacentral:rRNA from 1 species